rnacentral:misc_RNA from 1 species
GAUGAAGAACGUAGCGAAAUGCGAUAAGUAAUGUGAAUUGCAGAAUUCAGUGAAUCAUCGAAUCUUUGAACGCACAUUGCGCCCGCCAGUAUUCUGGCGGGCAUGCCUGUCUGAGCGUCAUUUCAACCCUCAUGCCCCUAGGGCGUGGUGUUGGGGAUCGGCCAAAGCCCGCGAGGGACGGCCGGCCCCUAAAUCUAGUGGCGGACCCGUCGUGGCCUCAUCUGCGAAGUAGUGAUAUUCCGCAUCGGAGAGCGAUGAGCCCCUGCCGUUAAACCCCCAACUUUCCAAGGUUGACCUCAGAUCAGGUAGGAAUACCCGCUGAACUUAAGCAUAUCAAUAAGCGGAGGA